rnacentral:rRNA from 1 species
UGCCUAAUGCAUAUUAAUAUCAGGUAUUUCUGCCCAGUGACAUAGUUAAACGGCCGCGGUAUACUGACCGUGCUAAGGUAGCACAAUAAUGAGCCUCUUAAUUAGAGGAUAGAAUGAAUGAAAGAACAAUGGAUAGCUUUUAUGGUAAAUAAUAAUAAAAUUUAUCUGCAAGUGAAAAAGCUUGCAUAUUUUGAAAAGACAAAAAGACCCUAAAAUCUUUAUAUAAUAUUAAUAAAUUUAGUUAACAAUAUAUUUAGUUGGGGCGACGAUAAGAAUAUAACACUUAAUAAUUUAUAGGCUUACAAGCCAAAAUUAAAAGCCAAACGCAUAUGAGUAAGUUACUUUAGGGAUAACAGGCUAGUUCUUCUUGAGAGAACACAUUUACAGAAGAGCUCAGCACCUCGAUGUGGCUUAAGGAUAGUUUUUCGUGUAGGCGCGAAAU